rnacentral:tRNA from 1 species
GGGCAAUUAGCUCAGCGGGAGAGCACUACCUUCACACGGUAGGGGUCACUGGUUCGAUCCCAGUAUUGCCCACCA